AUUGAACGCUAGCGGCAGGCCUAACACAUGCAAGUCGAACGAGUGGCGGACGGGUGAGUAAUGUCUGGGAACCUGCCCGAUAGCGGGGGAUAACUACUGGAAACGGUAGCUAAUACCGCAUACCAUCAGAUCUGCCCAUAUGGGAUUAGCUAGUUGGUGGGGUAACGGCUCACCAAGGCGACGAUCCCUAGCUGGUCUGAGAGGACGACCAGCCACACUGGAACUGAGACACGGUCCAGACUCCUACGGGAGGCAGCAGUGGUGAAUAUUGCACAAUGGGCGAAAGCCUGAUGCAGCCAUGCCGCGUGUAUGAAGAAGGCCUUCGGGGUGUAAAGUACUUUCAGCGGGGAGGCGUUACCCGCAGAAUAAGCACCGGCUAACGCCGUGCCAGCAGCCGCGGUAAUUC
rnacentral:rRNA from 1 species